CCUACGGGCGGCAGCAGUGGGGAAUAUUGGACAAUGGGCGCAAGCCUGAUCCAGCCAUACCGCGUGGGUGAAGAAGGCCUUCGGGUUGUAAAGCCCUUUUGUUGGGAAAGAAAUCCUGUCGGUUAAUACCCGGUAGGGAUGAUGGUACCCAAAGAAUAAGCACCGGCUAACUUCGUGCCAGCAGCCGCGGUAAUACGAAGGGUGCAAGCGUUACUCGGAAUUACUGGGCGUAAAGCGUGCGUAGGUGGUUUGUUAAGUCUGAUGUGAAAGCCCUGGGCUCAACCUGGGAAUGGCAUUGGAUACUGGCGAGCUAGAGUGCGGUAGAGGAUGGCGGAAUUCCCGGUGUAGCAGUGAAAUGCGUAGAGAUCGGGAGGAACAUCUGUGGCGAAGGCGGCCAUCUGGACCAGCACUGACACUGAGGCACGAAAGCGUGGGGAGCAAACAGGAUUAGAUACCCGGGUAGUC
rnacentral:misc_RNA from 1 species